UGGGGCAAGGGGCCCUAUCCCCAA
rnacentral:tRNA from 1 species